UACAGAGGUCCCAAGCGUUGUUCGGAUUUACUGGGCGUAAAGGGUGCGUAGGUGGCGAGGUAAGUUCGAUGUGAAAUCUCCAGGCUCAACUUGGAGACGCCAUUCGAUACUGCGAUGACUUGAGUCCGGUAGGGGAGUGUGGAAUUCCUGGUGUAGCGGUGAAAUGCGCAGAUAUCAGGAGGAACACCGGCGGCGAAGGCGGCACUCUGGGCCGGUACUGACGCUGAGGAGCGAAAGCGUGGGUAGCAAACAGG
rnacentral:rRNA from 1 species